UCCUACGGGGGGCAGCAGUGAGGAAUAUUGGUCAAUGGGAGAGAUCCUGAACCAGCCAAGCCGCGUGAGGGAAGACGGCCCUAUGGGUUGUAAACCUCUUUUGUCGGGGAGCAAAGAGACCACGUGUGGUCAAAAGCGAGAGUACCCGAAGAAAAAGCAUCGGCUAACUCCGUGCCAGCAGCCGCGGUAAUACGGAGGAUGCGAGCGUUAUCCGGAUUUAUUGGGUUUAAAGGGUGCGUAGGCGGGACGGUAAGUCAGCGGUAAAAAUGCGGAGCUCAACUCCGUCGAGCCGUUGAAACUGUCGU
rnacentral:rRNA from 1 species